rnacentral:rRNA from 1 species
CGGCACCUCAAGUGGUCAGGAUGAUUAUUGGGCCUAAAGCAUCCGUAGCCGGCGCUGUAAGUUUUCGGUUAAAUCUGUACGCUCAGCGUACAGGCUGCCGGGAAUACUGCAGCGCUAGGGAGUGGGAGAGGUAGACGGUACUCGGUAGGAAGGGGUAAAAUCCUUUGAUCUAUUGAUGACCACCUGUGGCGAAGGCGGUCUACCAGAACACGUCCGACGGUGAGGGAUGAAAGCUGGGGGAGCAAACCGGAUUAGAUACCCGAGUAGUCC